GAUGGUACUGCACGGGCAGCUGUGUGGGAGAGUAGGUCGCCGCCGGGA
rnacentral:rRNA from 1 species